AGAGUUUGAUCCUGGCUCAGGACGAACGCUGGCGGCGUGCUUAACACAUGCAAGUCGAACGGAAAGGCCCCUUCGGGGGUGCUCGAGUGGCGAACGGGUGAGUAACACGUGGGCGAUCUGCCCUGCACUUCGGGAUAAGCCUGGGAAACUGGGUCUAAUACCGGAUAGGACUACGCACUGCAUGGUGUGUGGUGGAAAGCUUUUGCGGUGUGGGAUGGGCCCGCGGCCUAUCAGCUUGUUGGUGGGGUGAUGGCCUACCAAGGCGUCGACGGGUAGCCGGCCUGAGAGGGUGUCCGGCCACACUGGGACUGAGAUACGGCCCAGACUCCUACGGGAGGCAGCAGUGGGGAAUAUUGCACAAUGGGCGCAAGCCUGAUGCAGCGACGCCGCGUGGGGGAUGACGGCCUUUCGGGUUGUAAACCUCUUUCAGCACAGACGAAGCGCAAGUGACGUAUGUGCAGAAGAAGCACCGGCCAACUUACGUGCCAGCAGCCGCGGUA
rnacentral:rRNA from 1 species